rnacentral:rRNA from 1 species
CGGACGGGUGAGUAACGCGUGGGUAACCUACCCUGUACACACGGAUAACAUACCGAAAGGUAUGCUAAUACGGGAUAAUAUAUUUGAGAGGCAUCUCUUGAAUAUCAAAGGUGAGCCAGUACAGGAUGGACCCGCGUCUGAUUAGCUAGUUGGUAAGGUGACGGCUUACCAAGGCGACGAUCAGUAGCCGACCUGAGAGGGUGAUCGGCCACAUUGGAACUGAGACACGGUCCAA